rnacentral:rRNA from 1 species
GAUGAACGCUGGCGGCGUGCCUAAUACAUGCAAGUCGAGCGAACAGAUGAGGAGCUUGCUCCUCUGACGUUAGCGGCGGACGGGUGAGUAACACGUGGAUAACCUACCUAUAAGACUGGGAUAACUUCGGGAAACCGGAGCUAAUACCGGAUAAUAUAUUGAACCGCAUGGUUCAAUAGUGAAAGACGGUUUUGCUGUCACUUAUAGAUGGAUCCGCGCCGCAUUAGCUAGUUGGUAAGGUAACGGCUUACCAAGGCAACGAUGCGUAGCCGACCUGAGAGGGUGCGCGGACACAAGAGAACAGAGACGGGGCAGACACCCAUGGGGGGGGCAGGGGGGGAGAAUCUUCCGAAGGGCGAGAACGCGAGAGGGCAAAGCGCCGCGUGAGAGAAAAGGGUUUGGGUCGCAUAAACCUCUUUUAUGAGAAAAAAAAAAGUGUAAAUAAAACUGCACGCGUCGAGAGGGCACAUAAUCAGAACCCCGCCGAAAACCGC